GCGGGCGAGCGAGGGGCGGGGCUCGUAGCAGGUAACUCCCCUUCCCAGGCCCAGGCAAGUCCGCGCGUCUGCGAGGCGCGGUGGUCGGGUAGUGGACCCUGGUCCUGUGGCCCCGGUUACUGACCGCGUCGUGCGGCCGCCAUCUUGCCGGCGUGUGGACCACCCCCGUCGGGAGGGGCUGCGACUAGGCCGGAAGCGGCAGUACGAAGGCAGCGCUGCCUGCCAGGUCGUGCUGUUAUAGAUGUUCUGGUGAGGAACACAGAAUCAUCAUCAUGGCUUUCCUUUGCUCAGAAACCAUUGAUGGGAAGUGAGUGCUUGUUAUACUUGAAGAUUUUCAGUGAAUGGACCUAACUGCACUCUUUGAGAUCAUCAGUAAGCAUGAGUGGUACCAAACCUGAUAUAUUGUGGGCACCACACCAGGUUGAUAGAUUUGUUGUAUGUGACUCAGAACUUAGCCUUUAUCACGUGGAAUCUACUGUGAAUUCAGAAUUCAAAGCUGGAUCUCUACGUUUAUCUGAAGACUCUGCAGCUACGUUACUCUCAAUAAAUUCAGAAACACCCUAUAUGAAAUGUGUUGCCUGGUAUCUCAAUUAUGAUCCUGAAUGUCUCCUAGCAGUUGGACAAGCAAAUGGUAGAGUUGUACUUACAAGUCUUGGUCAAGAUCAUAACUCAAAGUUCAAAGAUUUGAUAGGAAAAGAGUUUGUUCCAAAACAUGCACGACAAUGCAAUACUCUUGCAUGGAAUCCAUUGGAUAGUAACUGGCUUGCUGCUGGUCUAGAUAAACAUAGAGCUGACUUUUCAGUGCUGAUUUGGGACAUCUGCAGCAAAUACACGCCUGAUAUAGUUCCCAUGGAGAAAGUAAGACUUUCGGCAGGUGAAACUGAAACAACAUUAUUAGUAACAAAACCACUUUAUGAAUUAGGACAGAAUGAUGCUUGUCUCUCUCUUUGUUGGCUUCCACGAGACCAGAAACUUCUCCUUGCUGGUAUGCAUCGUAACCUAGCCAUUUUUGAUCUUCGGAAUACAAGCCAAAAGAUGUUUGUGAAUACAAAAGCUGUUCAGGGCGUGACAGUAGACCCAUACUUCCAUGAUCGUGUUGCUUCCUUUUAUGAAGGUCAGGUUGCAAUAUGGGAUCUUAGGAAAUUUGAGAAGCCAGUUUUGACUUUGACUGAGCAACCAAAGCCCUUAACAAAAGUAGCAUGGUGUCCAACUAGGACUGGUCUGCUUGCCACUUUAACAAGGGAUAGUAAUAUUAUUAGAUUAUAUGAUAUGCAGCACACACCCACUCCCAUUGGAGAUGAAACUGAACCCACAAUAAUUGAAAGAAGUGUGCAACCUUGUGACAAUUACAUUGCCUCCUUUGCUUGGCAUCCAACAAGUCAAAAUCGAAUGAUAGUUGUAACUCCCAACCGAACAAUGUCUGACUUCACUGUUUUUGAAAGGAUCUCUCUUGCCUGGAGCCCAAUUACAUCUUUAAUGUGGGCUUGUGGUCGUCAUUUGUAUGAAUGUGCGGAAGAAGAAAAUGAUAAUUCUUUAGAAAAAGAUAUAGCAACGAAGAUGCGCCUUCGGGCUUUAUCAAGGUACGGACUUGAUACAGAACAGGUGUGGAGAAACCAUAUUUUAGCGGGAAAUGAAGAUCUACAGCUCAAGUCACUCUGGUAUACUCUGCACUUUAUGAAGCAGUAUACAGAAGAUAUGGAUCAGAAAUCUCCAGGCAACAAAGGAUCAUUGGUUUAUUCAGGAAUUAAAUCAAUUGUAAAAUCAUCUUUGGGAAUGGUAGAAAGCAGCAGACAUAAUUGGAGUGGGUUGGAUAAGCAAACUGAUAUUCAGAAUUUAAAUGAAGAGAGAAUCUUAGCUUUACAGCUUUGUGGGUGGAUAAAGAAAGGAACGGAUGUCGACGUGGGGCCAUUUUUGAACUCCCUUGUACAAGAAGGGGAAUGGGAGAGAGCUGCCGCUGUGGCAUUGUUCAACUUGGAUAUUCGACGAGCAAUCCAGAUCCUGAAUGAAGGGGCAUCUUCAGAAAAAGGUGAUCUGAAUCUUAAUGUGGUAGCAAUGGCUUUAUCGGGUUAUACAGAUGAGAAGAACUCACUUUGGAGAGAAAUGUGCAGCACUUUACGAUUACAGUUAAACAACCCGUAUCUGUGUGUCAUGUUUGCAUUUCUGACAAGUGAAACAGGAUCUUAUGAUGGAGUAUUGUAUGAAAACAAAGUUGCGGUACGUGACAGAGUGGCAUUUGCUUGUAAAUUUCUUAGUGAUAGUCAGUUAAAUAGGUACAUCGAAAAGUUGACCAAUGAAAUGAAAGAGGCUGGAAAUUUGGAAGGAAUACUGCUUACAGGCCUUACUAAAGAUGGAGUGGACUUAAUGGAGAGUUAUGUUGACCGAACUGGAGAUGUACAAACAGCAAGUUACUGCAUGUUACAGGGCUCUCCCUUAGAUGUUCUUAAAGAUGAAAGAGUUCAGUACUGGAUUGAGAAUUAUAGAAAUUUAUUAGAUGCCUGGAGGUUUUGGCACAAACGAGCUGAAUUUGAUAUUCACAGGAGUAAGUUGGAUCCCAGUUCUAAGCCUUUAGCACAGGUGUUUGUGAGUUGCAAUUUUUGUGGAAAGUCUAUCUCCUACAGCUGCUCAACUGUGCCCCAUCAGGGCAGAGGUUUUAGUCAGUAUGGUGUCAGUGGCUCACCAACAAAAUCUAAAGUCACAAGUUGCCCUGGCUGUCGAAAACCCCUUCCUCGAUGUGCACUUUGCCUCAUCAAUAUGGGAACACCUGUUUCUAGUUGUCCUGGAGGCUCCAAAUCAGAUGAAAAAGUAGACUUGAGCAAAGACAAAAAAUUAGCUCAGUUUAACAACUGGUUUACAUGGUGUCACAAUUGCAGACACGGUGGGCAUGCUGGACACAUGCUUAGUUGGUUCAGGGAUCAUGCCGAGUGUCCUGUGUCUGCAUGCACGUGUAAAUGUAUGCAGUUGGAUACAACAGGGAAUCUGGUACCUGCAGAGACUGUCCAGCCAUAAAAUGUUAUCCCCUAAAGAGGAACCUUCAAGUGUGGAGCUUUCUGAUAGAUGUCCUUCAUAGCUCAGAAACAUACCUCAGAACAAGUCACUCAUGACUUCCCUGUAAUGGGAAAAUAAAUCAUUCUAUCAAAUCACCAAUUUGAUGUUUGAAUGAUUUUGAUGUACUUCACAGAGACAAAUGCUGCUGAAAUGAACAGAGUGUGGGCAUGAAUUCUGUUCAGUAGGUUGGAAAAGUUCAUUUUGGAAAGAACUUUUUAGGGUUUUGUUGAAAUUAUGAACACUGUGCAAACAGAGUUUCUGGAGUGACCAAGAACAGACCUUGAAACCAUACUUUUUAUGUUGCAAUUGGUUAUCUUUCAGUAAAAUCUGUACACUUUUAAAAUAGAAUAAUAUGCCCAAUUCAGUGAUUCAGACAGUAGUUUAAGCUUACUCAUGCUUAGAUUCCUUCCAGAUUAAAUUUAAAUUGUGGAUUUUUACUUUUAGAAUUAGAAAGCCCCCUACCCUACACUGGAGAAUUAUUUAUCAAGGUAUGAUUGAUAUAUAUAUUUUUAAGGAGUCUCUUCUCUCAUACACUUUCAUUUUAAGAUAAGAAAUCUUUUGGCACAGACAUUUAUUGUCUUCCAAAGAAAAGUCAAAAUUAAGAAUGUAUCUUACAACUUUUUCUCUUCUGAGGAGAAAAAUAUGCACCAUUUCAAGGAAACGUAUAAAAUUUUCCUUUUCAACCUUUUGCUUUCCAAUGUCCUUAUUUGUCUUCAAAGAUUUCUGUCCCUGUUAAUUUAUCAUCUUAUGCUCAUCAUCUGGAAGCAUUUGGCUGAAUACAAAGUGUAUACAAGUCUAUAUGUGACCAACCAUUCAGCAUAAUCUACGUCACUAUGUCCUACUGUCGGAUUCCCUCUUGCAGAAUAUCCUGUUUUUUCUAAGGUAGACUUUGAGAUGUUGGGGAAACCAGAGUCACUUUGGAGAUAAUUUCACCUUUAAUGUAAGUUUCUUAAAGUAAGUAUAUUUGGUCCAAUUUAGGGACUUUAUUUUCAAAUUUUAUUUUUUCCCUUUUCACAGCUAGAUAGUUGGAAGAGAAAUACAAAGGAUUUGUAGCAUCAUCUGACAUAUGCAGAGGACUGAACUGAAUUUCAUAGUUGAAGUUGUACUUAUAGAAAAAUAAAAAGUAAGCCUAAAAAUUAUCUUACAGAUUUUGAAGAAAGAAAUAUCUUAAACAAGAAUUUUAGAAGCUUUCACGUUAGGAAUUUUACCUGGUAAAACUAAGAUCUGUUAGAUUAAUUUGAGGUAUGACUUAAAUCCUGAACAAAGGUGGAUUAAAUUUAUUUUUUACUUUGAGAUCUAUUACAAAAGUCUCUUUUCUAGGAAAACAUUGCAUAUCUACUCUAAACAUCUCAUCUAGAUGACAAUCUUUUGUUUAAAAGAAAGAACUGGGAAUAGUUACAAUCUUUUUUUUUUUUUUAAACAAAGAUUGUUAUUAAGGGGACUUUUUCCAGUCUUCUAAGUAAAUCUUACUGAUUUCAUUUUACUAAAACAUAACCUUUACCUUUAAAGUUGCUUCAGUUGAAGUGUUUCUUUCAAAUUUGCUCUGUCCAAAAUAUGAAAAGUCAGCUUUAGUGUCAAACUGUUAUAUACAUUUUCAUUUCUCCUUAGCUAAAGUAAGGUAAAUUUUUGAAUUGAUGUUUAGAAUAGGGUUAUAUCUAAAAUACUUAUAAUUUUUGGAAGUACAAUAUAAGACAUAAGCAUAAAGUCUAUUAUAUAAUCUGCUUGUAAUCACAGGAUGACAUUUUUAAGAAUAACUUUAUGCCUGUGUCAGCCUUCUAAUAUUUUCUGUGAAACCCAAAUAUUCAUAUAAGAUGUCUAUUAUGCUUGUUUUGCAUUUUAUUGUAUGUGGAACAUGAAAAUAGACUAAUUUUUUCAUUUUUAUUACUUGGUCACUAAUAUUUGGGUUUAUAAACUCAACGAGAUAUUUUACCUAAACAUGUUCAAUAGAAGUGUUUAAUAAAAGUGUUUUAUUAUUUUUUUAAAUUGAAUAAAAAUGGAUUGAAGUCGACAUGUCUAAUCUAGAAAUUAUCUAUGACCACUCUGCAAAUAAUCCAAUAAAAUAAUAAAAUAGUAGUUAUUUUGAUGGCAAAUUUGAUUCUUAGUCUUAGAAGUAACUUUUUUAUAGACUCUGUUUUUCAGCUUUCCAGAAUGGUUAUUAUUCAUUAAAAUGGUAUAUUUAAAAAGUAUCUUUCCAUUGUCAGUGCUACACCCAGUAAGUAUUAGAGUGAGAAACAAAUAGUCCUGCAUUUAAUUGCAUGGCUGGAUGUAAUUUCAGUCACUCAUUUGACUGCAGAUAUUCAAAGUAUGGGUUUUGAAAUUUAAAUUAUAAUCCUAGUCCCAGUAUCUUGGCCAAGUGGCUUGACCUUUUUGAGCUUCAAUUUCCUAAUAUGUUAAAAGGUAUAGAAAUUCCUACCUCAUAGGGUGAUUGGGCAUGUUAGGUGAUGAAAUAAACAUGAAGUGUUAUAUCCGUCGCAUAAUGCUCUGUAAAAGGUAGUGCUUAACAGUCAUUGUUACCUAAUCUUUAUUGGUUACUCAUGUGUCAGCACUUUUUAAUUGAAUAUGGUAUAAUUUAAACAAAGUAUGUACAUUUACAUUUGUCUCAGUAGUGAAAAUUUCCCAAGAGCUUGUUUUUCCAAAUCUGGAUAAAUUAUGGCAUUUUCUUUUGAGAUAGAACUUAGCUACUUUUGUUUAUCCUGUAUUUAGAAUAUUACUUUCUGCUGUAUGAAGAAGUCCUCUGAACAACCACCUAGGAUUUUAAUGUGAUACAAGAGUGAACCCAGGGAUGAAAAUUAAAAUUUUGGUAAAUCUGGACCGUUGACCAGUAACCAUUGAAAACUUGAACUUUUCAUAUCUAUAUUCAACUCUUAAGUCCUGGCCUUCAUAGGAGAAAAUAUCCAGUAUUUUCCCAGUAAAAUCCUUCCUUUUCUGCCAUUCUGUUACACUUGAUGUUCAUUUAAGUAAAAAUGUUGGGAGGAUGGUGAUAAUAAAAAAGGAAGUACACUGUGAGGUUUGUUCUCGUUCGGGAUAGCUGUAGUUAAGACAAGUGGGCACUAAGUAGUUGUACACGUCUAACAUCUGCUCAGAGGUGUCAGAGAGAGGGGAGAGGCAUUUUAGGUGUUAGUUCAACAUCCUUGUAUAGAGGGCCUGUGACCCCCAUGGCCAUGGCAGAGAUGGGGCUAGCUGGACAACUGCUCAUCUAGCCACUACUCUCCCAUUACAUCAUCUGCCUAUUCUUCCCUCCUACUUGAAAAUUUUGUAGGUUUCUUUACUGAUUUUAGAAAGCACUUUAUGAAAAUAUUAAUCUUUAUAAAGUAUUAAUUUUUUACUAGAGUAUAUAGACAGAAGGAAAGUUCCCGAAAUGUUUUUAAAAGAUAGUGUAAUCCAGGUAUCAGAUUAACAUAGGUUGCCAAAACAAAGAACUGAUUUCAUUUAGGAAUAUUCAUGAUAAAUUCAUAAGUAAAGUCAAUAUCUAAUCCAACAGUAUAUUACUGAGAACAGUAGUUACUGUUGGUGCUUAUUAUUUGCCAGGUACCAUGCACAUUAUCCUGUUUAAUCCUCACUGUAGCCCUGUGAGGCAGAUACACUAUUACUGCUCCCAUUCUACACAUGAGGCAAUUAAGGCAUAGGGACAUUAGGUCACUUGUCCUAGGUUAUACAGCUAAUAAAUAGCAGAGCCAACCUAGACUCCAGUAGUCUGACUUCCCAAUCUGUACUUUUAAUUACUGUUUUAUACUUCCACGUCCUACUUUAUGGACUGUGUAUAGGAGAAUAAUUCACUAUGACAAUUGAGGGUUUAUUAUAUUUAGUAUUAAUACACCAAAAGAGAAAAAACAUGUCAGUGGCUCUUUGGAUGUAAAAAGCAGUUGAUAAAAUCCAAAAAUUGAUUCCUGAUUUGUUCUUUAGAUUUAGUUUUUAUCAUGAAAAGGAAAUGUUUUUCUUCAUUUUUUUUCCCCUUCUUUUUUACUGUCUGUCUCAAACAGCCAGCAUCAACGCAGUGGGGAAAUAAUAGGAAUAAAACAAGGAUCAAGUGGUUACCGUUGGUUCUGCACAUAGCAGUGCAGAAGAGGGAAGUGGAGGGAGGCACACCCUUGCUUCUCUUCCAAGUCUUUAAAGUUUGGUAUGGCAAAAAUACCAUAAAGAGUUAAAAGGCAAGCAAACUGGUAAGCUACAACAUGCAUACAAAUUUAAUACCCUUAAUUCACAAAGACGUUCUGAAACCCAUAAGGAAAAGACACAACCAAUGGAUAAUAUUGAUCAAGGACUUGUACAGCCAAAAUAAAAUGGCCAACAAACAUAAAUAAAUGUUAAAUUGGUAAUAAAGUAAUGCUGAUUAAAACGACAGCAGGAUACUGUUCACUUGCCUGUGUAAAUUAAAAGGAAUAAUAUGUAUUUUCAUGGAUAUGGGAAAGGAACAUUCUCAAAUAACAACUUGUGAGAGUGUGUUAUUAGUACAAGUGUUCCUGAGGACAGUGAGUAAUAUGUAUCAAAAGCCUUAAAAAGCUUCAUACCCUUUGACAUAGUAUAUUGGAAAUAUUUUCUGAGGGAUUAAUUGGAUAAGUACACAAAGGUGUAUGUUUCUAUGAAAUGGUUAUCACAGUAUUUUUUAUAAUAACUUGGAAGCCUAAAUGUUCAAUAAUAAGAGUAAAGAAAUUGUCACAUACAUACAAUGGAAUACUAACUAUUCAAAUAGUAUGGGUAUUUUUAUUGACAAAGGACGAUUCAUGAUAUAUUUAUAAAUGGAGGGAAAGGCAAGUUAUAGGAUAGUAUAUAUAGAAUAUAUUUGUAUGGAACACUAUUGGAGAAUAUAAAAUUUUAACAGUGGCCAUCUUUCAAGAAUAGAAUUUUUUUUAAAAUUUUAUUUAUUUAUUUAUUUAUGGCUGUGUUGGGUCUUCGUUUCUGUGCGAGGGCUUUCUCUAGUUGCAGCAAGUGGGGGCCACUCUUAAUCGCGGUGCGCGGGCCUCUCACUAUCACGGCCUCUCUUGUUGCGGAGCACAGGCUCCAGACGCGCAGGCUCAGUAAUUGUGGCUCACGGGCCUAGUUGCUCCACGGCAUGUGGGAUCUUCCCAGACCAGGUCUCAAACCCGUGUCCCCUGCAUUGGCAGGCAGAUUCUCAACCACUGCGCCACCAGGGAAGCCCAAGAAUAGAAUUUUAAGUGGCAUUUUUCUUAUCUGCAUCUUCUAGUUUUUCUACAAUAAUGAUGAAUGUAUAAAUAAAUGAAUAUGCAUAUCACACACACGUUAGUGGCUUUUAUAAAAGUUACCCAUGACCUGUUAUCUUGUUCUUACCAUAAUGAACAAUCAAAUUAUUAUGAGGUGAAGAAACUUGCUAUAAGGUAUUAUGAAAAUUAUUACUGAGAUUUAAUUAUUUGGAAAGCAUUUUUCUAGAUUUCAUAUUCUACAGUAAUAUAUAAGAAUAAUAAACAGAUGUGGUUCUUUCUCUUAAUUGUCUCUUUUGUCAUAUUUGGAAACAGUGCAUUUUGUUCUCCAUUUAACACAUUGGGAAAUGGAUCUAUAAAAUAGUUCUGAUAUUCCUGAGGUAGUAUUACAUAAUUAAUGACUUUGUUUCAAUCUUCUCUCUCCUAGAUGUUCCUCAGGAUAUUUUCUGACUCCUCUGUUUUGGCUCUGGGCCUGUGGCAGGACACCUGUCCUCUGUGUUUAGAAUUUAGUUAAUUAUUGUCCAAUGCAGUGUAGAGUGCAUUUUACUCAACUCAUUUCCAAUAAUUUAACAAGCUACUUAUGUUUAAGUGAUGAAUUCUGAACAUGCCUGCAUGUCCAUGCUUCCAUCAAAGAACCAAGCAUUAGCGUGCCUACAUGCGCCAGACAUUUAAGGUUAUGAUUUCAAAGGAUUGAUGGCACCAUCUUUACCUUGGAGGAGCUGUAAUAUCUAAUGGAAGAGCCAUAUACUUUGCUGGUGACAGUUCAAGAAGUUGCCACUGCCAGACAUGUGCAUUCACCUACAGUACCCCAUCAGCAACUGAACACUUUCAUCUCUGGGAUAAAUGAUUAAUGAGUUGUCUAUCAUUUCCACUCCUUUUGUACCAAGUGGUAGAGGCUUCAGUUGAUCAUAUUGCAGCCAUCAGCAUCAUUACUGAAAUUGAUUCUGCCAUGGGAGGGUUAUGCUAGGACAAUAGAUUAGCAUUUAAAUAAACGAACUAAUUUAUGGCAUUAAAAAUUACAUAAACUAAUCCCUCUGAGUCACUCUGUCGCACCUGGUAAGGUUGUUUUGUUUUGUUUUUGCUGAUUAGCUACCAUCAUAAAACCUUAGGUUGAGGAAAGAAGGAUGGAAGGCACAGAAGUUGAGUUGUUCUUGUUUUGAGUACAACCCUCUAAGAUUUCCAAACUUCCCACUCUCUUUAUUAAUCACUGUCAUGUAUAUGAAAUACAUUUAUGAAAUUACACAACUUGCAUGCAAUGAUGAACAGUAAACUUGCCAAAUCAUUGCCUUUAGAGAAAAAGUAAAGGGGUAAACACAUUUUUGAAAGGCCAGAAUUAGUCCAGAAAGGAAAGUAGUUGGAGGAUUGAGAUUGACAAAUGAUACUCAGAUACAGUGAAAUGAAACUUUUCUAAUUUUUCAGCAAGCAGAUGCGAGAAUGAGGAGAUAAGAACAUCACAAUUUAGAUGUCUUGGUGAUGUGGGCUGCAUUUCUAAAACAGAUGGUGGAGAAUGAGGGUCGGCAUAGGCCUAGAAAAAAGUGAUAGAUUGUAGUUUUGGUAAAGUGUUAUACUCAAGGAAAAUAACUGGAACUUAGAACUUCUAUUUUAGCAUCUCUUUCUCCUCCUGGGAUAACUGCCUGAGAGUUGUCAAUAUUACUGAACUUAAACUUCCCCUCAGUUACUUUUGUGUUCCAGCAUAUGACUUUUUUGUCCAUUCCUCUUAUAUUUUCCCAUUUUUUCCUGUCUGCUCUCUUCUGAAUUUCAUGAGACCAACUGUUUAAUCUACUUCUGAAUUAAGACAACUACCUGAAAUUAUAUUGGUCAAAGUGCAUGUGCAUUUUCUUCAGAGCUGAGACUGGUUGUACAGUGAAAUGGAGCCAUCGUAGGUUUUUCUCAGUCCAGCUGCUUCUGCCCUAUAUUGAUUAAGAUUCUUUCCAGAUUCUAAUAGUGAGGCUGUGGGUGAUGGCAUUGUUAGUUUUCAUCUUUUUUCUGGUAUGUGUAUAUUUUAAGAAGCUAGAAGAGGCAGCUUUGAGUACUGCUAAGUAGAGGACAUGUUUACCCAACAGUGAUAUAAAUAACUGAGACUUGUAUUCUGGAAAGUGGGCAGAAUAUGAUUUCAGUAAGAGGGAACAUUGUUGUGAUAUGGGAAAAACCAAACCAAACCAAACCAAACAAAACAAAACAUGGGAACGUGAAUUCUACAAGUGGCCCAAUAACAAACUUCCUUUAUAUGUUAAAAUUCCCCAAUGACAAAUGACUCUUUUCAGUCACAGUGAGAUGAACAGGUUAGGCUAAGAUGUGCUCGAUCUGGAGAUGAGCGAGUGACUAUGCCCUUCUUUACCCUCGACACAAGUUGCUACUCAAUUACGCUCUUUUUCUCAGAACCUUUUCCGCAUUGUAUUGGAGGCAGCAACUACCAACUAGUCAGCAUUCACCUGUUUGCCAUUUUUAGCCCUAAAAUUUGGUAUGCCCUGACCAUUUUUUACUAAAAUGCGUGGGGGUUAAAACUCUAACAAUUCAUGAUUUUAAGUAUUUCAUGAGUCAUUUUUGUCUGUAUACUGAGUCUAUCUAAGUAGAAAUUACCUAUUUCCUAGUUGUAAUAUAUGGUAUAUAUAAUUGUAGUAUGUUGUUACAAUUAUAUAUAUAAUACAUAAAUAUAAUACAUUGUAUAUAAAUAAUAUUGUAUAAAUGUUGUACAGUGUUUGUUAUACAAUAUUAUUUUGCGAUGUAUAUUGUAAUAUGCUGUAAUAUAUUCAAGCCUUAUUUGAAUAAAACUCUUAUUUGCAUGCCCACAUGCUUAUGAAUGGAAAUUAAUAAAUUUGUUUCCUAGUAACAGCAGUUUCCGUAGCCAAUAAACACUUAAAUAUUU